rnacentral:rRNA from 1 species
UCAAGCUGAAAAGAGCGCAAGGGGAAUGCCUUGGCAUCAGGAGCCGACGAAGGACGUGACAAGCUGCGAUAAGCCACGGGGAGGAGCAAAUAUCCGAUAUAUCCGUGGAUUUCCGAAUGGGGGAACCCGCUCAAGCAAUACUUGAGCAUCGUGCGUUGAAUCAAAUAGGCGUACGAAGGGAACGGCCUGAACUGAAACAUCUAAGUAGGGCCAGGAAAAGACAUCAACCGAGAUUCCGCUAGUAGUGGCGAGCGAACGCGGAGGAGGCCAAACCGAGGGACGCAAGUUCUUCGGGGUUGCGGACAGACAUCAUGACCAGAGGAAGUUAGGAGAACGGCGUGGGAAAGCCGGCCAUAGAAGGUGAGAGCCCUGUAUCUGAAAAUGAAGACUGGCAGUCUGGAUCCAGAGUACCGCGGGACACGUGAAACCCCGUGGGAAACCGGGUGGACCACCAUCCAAGCCUAAAUACUACCUGAUGACCGAUAGAGGAGCAGUACCGUGAGGGAAAGGUGAAAAGGACCCCGGGAGGGGAGUGAAAGAGAACCUGAAACCUUGUGCUUACAAGCAGUCAAAGCACGUUAACGUGUGAUGACGUACUUUUUGUAGAACGGUCCGGCGAGUUAUAGUAACGAGCAAGCUUAAGGUAUUGAGUACCGGAGGCGAAGCGAGAGCGAGUCUGAAUAGGGCGUAAAGUUCGUUGCCAUAGACCCGAAACCGGGUGACCUAUCCAUGAGCAGGCUGAAGUGAGAGUAAAAUCUCAUGGAGGGCCGAACCGACCCCCGUUGCAAUGGUGGCGGAUGACUUGUGGAUAGCGGAGAAAUUCCAAUCGAACUCGGAGAUAGCUGGUUCUCCCCGAAAUAGCUUUAGGGCUAGCGUUAUGUUAGAUUACCGGAGGUAAAGCACUGAAUGGUGGCGGGGCCGAUAAGGUUACCAAGACCUAUCAAACUCUGAAUGCCGGAUAAUUGAUGCAUAGCAGUCAGACAGCGUGAGAUAAGUUUCGUUGUCAAAAGGGAAACAGCCCAGACCCACAGCUAAGGUCCCAAAUUCAUGCUAAGUGGAAAACGAUGUGGAAUUGCGAAAACAACCAGGAUGUUGGCUUAGAAGCAGCCACUCAUUAAAAGAGUGCGUAAUAGCUCACUGGUCGAGUGACUCUGCGCGGAAAAUAUAACGGGGCUAAGCAUGAAACCGAAGCUUGGGCUUGUACUUAGGUACAGGGGUAGGGGAGCGUCGAGUAUGGGGUGAAGUCAGAGCGGAAGCACUGGUGGACUGUACUCGAGUGAGAAUGCCGGAAUGAGUAGCGAGAAUUAUGUGGGAAUCAUAAUGGCCGAAAAUCUAAGGUUUCUUGGGGAAGGUUCGUCCGCCCAAGGUAAGUCGGGAGCUAAGCUCAGGCCGAGAGGCGUAGGCGAUGCACAUACGGUAGAAAUUCCGUAACCACCGAAACUUAAACAGAGGGACACUUCGAAAUAGCGGAACCCGGGCGUUGGUUGACCCGGGCGAAAGGGAGCGAAAAUAGAGUAGCGAAGUCCGCGAUGUUCGGAGGCGAGAAAAGCUCUGAGGUAUGCUAAGGUGCCCGUACCGCAAACCGACACAGGUAGAUGAGGAGAGAAUCCUAAGGCCAACGGGAGAAGGGUUGUUAAGGAACUCGGCAAAUUGACCCCGUAACUUCGGAAGAAGGGGAGCCCCCUACGGGGGGUCGCAGAGAAAUGGCCCAAGCAACUGUUUACCAAAAACACAGGUCUAUGCUAAAUCGAAAGAUGACGUAUAUGGGCUGACGCCUGCCCGGUGCCGGAAGGUUAAGAGGAGAUGUCAGGCAACGAAGCAUUGAAUUUAAGCCCCGGUAAACGGCGGCCGUAACUAUAACGGUCCUAAGGUAGCGAAAUUCCUUGUCAGGUAAGUUCUGACCCGCACGAAUGG